GGUUUUCGGACCAAGAGACCGGCGCACGGGUGCGUAACGCGUAUGCAAUCUACCUUUUGCAGAGGAUAGCCCAGAGAAAUUUGGAUUAAUACUCAUAGUAUAGUACUUUGGCAUCAAGGAACUAUUAAAGUCACAACGGCAAAAGAUGAGCAUGCGUCCCAUUAGCUAGUUGGUAAGGUAACGGCUUACCAAGGCUACGAUGGGUAGGGGGUCCUGAGAGGGAGAUCCCCCACACUGGUACUGAGACACGGACCAGACUCCUACGGGAGGCAGCAGUGAGGAAUAUUGGACAAUGGGCGCAAGCCUGAUCCAGCCAUGCCGCGUGCAGGAUGACGGUCCUAUGGAUUGUAAACUGCUUUUAUACAGGAAGAAACACUCCGACGUGUCGGAGCUUGACGGUACUGUAAGAAUAAGGAUCGGCUAACUCCGUG
rnacentral:rRNA from 1 species